rnacentral:rRNA from 1 species
GGGAUAACCUGGGGAAACCCAGGCUAAUACCGCAUACGUCCUACGGGAGAAAGGGGGCUCCGGCUCCCGCUAUCGGAUGAGCCUAUGUCGGAUUAGCUGGUUGGUGAGGUAAAGGCUCACCAAGGCGACGAUCCGUAGCUGGUCUGAGAGGAUGAUCAGCCACAUCGGGACUGAGACACGGCCCGAACUCCUACGGGAGGCAGCAGUGGGGAAUAUUGGACAAUGGGGGGAACCCUGAUCCAGCCAUGCCGCGUGUGUGAAGAAGGCCCUCGGGUUGUAAAGCACUUUCAGUGAGGAAGAACGCCUGGUGGUUAAUACCCAUCAGGAAAGACAUCACUCACAGAAGAAGCACCGGCUAACUCCGUGCCAGCAGCCGCGGUAAUACGGAGGGUGCGAGCGUUAAUCGGAAUUACUGGGCGUAAAGCGCGCGUAGGUGGCUUGAUAAGCCGGUUGUGAAAGCCCCGGGCUCAACCUGGGAACGGCAUCCGGAACUGUCAAGCUAGAGUGCAGGAGAGGAAGGUAGAAUUCCCGGUGUAGCGGUGAAAUGCGUAGAGAUCGGGAGGAAUACCAGUGGCGAAGGCGGCCUUCUGGACUGACACUGACACUGAGGUGCGAAAGCGUGGGUAGCAAACAGGAUUAGAUACCCUGGUAGUCCACGCCGUAAACGAUGUCGACCAGCCGUUGGGUGCCUAGCGCACUUUGUGGCGAAGUUAACGCGAUAAGUCGACCGCCUGGGGAGUACGGCCGCAAGGUUAAAACUCAAAUGAAUUGACGGGGGCCCGCACAAGCGGUGGAGCAUGUGGUUUAAUUCGAUGCAACGCGAAGAACCUUACCUACUCUUGACAUCCUGCGAAUUUGGUAGAGAUACCUUAGUGCCUUCGGGAACGCAGAGACAGGUGCUGCAUGGCUGUCGUCAGCUCGUGCUGUGAAAUGUUGGGUUAAGUCCCGUAACGAGCGCAACCCUUGUCCUUAUUUGCCAGCGCGUAAUGGCGGGAACUCUAG